rnacentral:rRNA from 1 species
GACGGAGGGUGCAAGCGUUGUUCGGAAUUACUGGGCGUAAAGGGCGCGUAGGCGGUCUGUUAAGUUCGGUGUGAAAGCCCCCGGCUCACCUGGGGAACUGCGCCGGAAACCGACAGACUCGAGUACCGGAGAGGAGGGUGGAAUUCCUGGUGUAGCGGUGAAAUGCGUAGAUAUCAGGAGGAACACCGGUGGCGAAGGCGGGUCUCUGGGCCGAUACUGACGCUGGAGGAGCGAAAGCGUGGGGAGCGAACAGG